AGUGAACGCUGGCGGUAGGCCUAACACAUGCAAGUCGAACGGCGGCACAGUAAGAGCUUGCUCUUACGGGUGGCGAGUGGCGGACGGGUGAGGCAUACAUCGGAAUCUACUUUUUCGUGGGGGAUAACGUAGGGAAACUUACGCUAAUACCGCAUACGACCUACGGGUGAAAGCAGGGGAUCUUCGCACCUUGCGCGACUGAAUGAGCCGAUGUCGGAUUAGCUAGUUGGCGGGGUAAAGGCCCACCAAGGCGACGAUCCGUAGCUGGUCUGAGAGGAUGAUCAGCCACACUGGAACUGAGACACGGUCCAGACUCCUACGGGAGGCAGCAGUGGGGAAUAUUGGACAAUGGGCGAAAGCCUGAUCCAGCCAUACCGCGUGGGUGAAGAAGGCCUUCGGGUUGUAAAGCCCUUUUGUUGGGAAAGAAAAGCAGCAGGUUAAUACCCCGCUGUUCUGACGGUACCCAAAGAAUAAGCACCGGCUAACUUCGUG
rnacentral:rRNA from 1 species